rnacentral:rRNA from 1 species
CUGGUUCAGGAUGAACGCUGGCGGCGUGCUUAACACAUGCAAGUCGAACGAAGCACCUCUAAUCGAAGAUUGAGAAGCUUGCUUUGAUUGAUUCACCUGAGGUGACUGAGUGGCGGACGGGUGAGUAACGCGUGGGUAACCUACCCUAUACAGGGGGAUAACAGUUGGAAACGACUGCUAAUACCGCAUAAGCGCACAGGACCGCAUGGUCUAGUGUGAAAAAACUCCGGUGGUAUAGGAUGGACCCGCGUCUGAUUAGCUAGUUGGUGAGGUAACGGCUCACCAAGGCGACGAUCAGUAGCCGACCUGAGAGGGUGACCGGCCACAUUGGGACUGAGACACGGCCCAAACUCCUACGGGAGGCAGCAGUGGGGAAUAUUGCACAAUGGGCGAAAGCCUGAUGCAGCGACGCCGCGUGAACGAAGAAGUAUUUCGGUAUGUAAAGUUCUAUCAGCAGGGAAGAAAAAUGACGGUACCUGACUAAGAAGCUCCGGCUAAAUACGUGCCAGCCGCUGC